rnacentral:rRNA from 1 species
UACGAACCGUCCAAACGUUAUUCGGAAUCACUGGGCUUAAAGGGUGCGUAGGCGGCGCGGAAAGUUGGGUGUGAAAUCCCUCGGCUCAACCGAGGAACUGCGCCCAAAACUACCGUGCUCGAGGGAGAUAGAGGUGAGCGGAACUUAGGGUGGAGCGGUGAAAUGCGUUGAUAUCCUAAGGAACACCGGUGGCGAAAGCGGCUCACUGGAUCUCUUCUGACGCUGAGGCACGAAAGCUAGGGUAGCGAACGGG